UUUGUAUUUGUGGUCCAAUAUGGCUCUUUCAACAUUUUGGGUUGCCAACCCCUGAGUUAGGCAAAGGUCUUUUUGUUGGAAACCCCGUAGAUUCCGUUUCAGGGGCACGAGUGAGUGGGUGUUAAUAUCGACCUUGUGGCCAUGCAGAGCUGGGGAAGGAUUGAAUGCAGUGCAAAUAUUGCAAAUUUGAAAGCUUCAAUAAAGAGGCUCUCCUGAAGCACUUUCGACUUCGUCACGGUACAGGUGCAAACUGGCCCUGUAUUCACACAGACUGUGUGUGUAUUUAAAACACCUGGUGCAUUACGGUCACACUUCUCAAGAUCACACACAACUGCGGAGAGAGGUAGUAGAGGGGCAGCCUAUGGUAUCCCAAGUCCAGCAGAGAUGGCCUGCACUGUUUUCCUGUGAAGAGAUAUCUGAAGAAUUUCAUGGCAUCACCAGCAAAGACCUCCUGAAGACUUUCAAUGAGUCCCUUCAGACUGUACCGGGCUAGAAAGGGAGCUUUUGGUCAGCAAAUAGAAGACUUCCUGGAUAAGCUUGAUGAACAGACCCCCCACUGAGAGGCGGUCAACGAGGGAUUUGAAGGACGCGUGGACUGCGGGCUGAAUGGCCGCCCGGCUGAGAGCGGCGAGGAGGGAAAGUUCAUUAUCUCGCUGAAAAGGGAACCGAUGGCUUUGGCCGUCGCCGUGGCAACGAGCCUGUCUUUUGCCGUCAGCCCCAUGA